UACGGGGGGAGCAAGCGUUGUUCGGAUUUACUGGGCGUAAAGGGCGCGUAGGCGGCCACCGCAAGUCGACUGUGAAAUCUCUGGGCUUAACCCAGAAAGGUCAGCCGAUACUGCGGGGCUAGAGUGCAGAAGGGGCAACUGGAAUUCUCGGUGUAGCGGUGAAAUGCGUAGAUAUCGAGAGGAACACCUGCGGCGAAGGCGGGUUGCUGGGCUGACACUGACGCUGAGGCGCGAAAGCUAGGGGAGCGAACGGG
rnacentral:rRNA from 1 species